rnacentral:rRNA from 1 species
UACGUAUGGUGCGAACGUUGUUCGGAAUCACUGGGCAUAAAGAGCACGUAGGCGGUUGAGCAAGUCCAUUGUGAAAUCCCCCGGCCUAACCGGGGAACUGCAUUGGAUACUACUUGACUUGAGUGCAGGAGGGGAGAGUGGAAUUCCAGGUGGAGCGGUGAAAUGCGCAGAUAUCAGGAGGAACACCGGUGGCGAAGGCGGUUCUCUGGGCAUUACCUGACGCUGAGGCGCGAAAGCCAGGGGAGCAAACGGG